AUUUUUCGCGCGCUAAUGAUGUAAACAAGAUGAGACAGUAGAAAACAUGGAAUUGAGGAUUAAUUCUAUGAAAAUAUGAUCUUGUACCCGGUAUUUUUACGCUACAUAUUGUACAGAAUGAUAUUAUUGACAACAUAUCCAAUGCCAAGAUUAGCAAUUAUAAUGUAUGCUCUUAAUAUGAUACAAUGAAUGGAACGGAAUCAAUUUCAUACACGUGUUUUCACCGUCACGGUUUCAACAUCUACGAUGAACAUGAUGAAUGGAAGAUUCUACAUUUGGUUGAUGAUAACAGUGUUUGACAAAAAUGUUAAUCAAUGGUGUGCAGAUGUCUUGUGUUUUGAAUCAGGACUUCAUGAAGACGGGGCAUGGACACCACCUGUUUCUUCCGGUACAUAUCAUGGAUGGUCCUUUUGACAACGUUCCGGUUAAAGUCGUCCAAGAUCCAAGGCUUUGGACCAGGCUUCUGUAUUGAUGACUUGUGGACUGCCUUUACAACAUCCUGCACUGGAUCCAAAGCCUCGAUCUUCCUCUUUAAUGUACUGAGGCUUAUACCUGAAAAUAGAGAAAAAUUAUUCAGAAAUAUUAACAUUCAUUUGUUCUGUGUUAAAUGUGAACACUUUAAUAAUCAACCAAUUACGAGAUAUUGAGAGUAUUAAUCUUUUCAGGAGAUUUUAUAAUUGUAUUUAAAGAACACAUUUUCUAGUACAUUUUUAUUUUGUAAAGUACUGGUUUGUGUGAAGCUGUCGGUUUCCUUAGUAAAGAAGAUGGACCAUUAUUUUUCAAUAGUUUAUGCAUAUUGUUUUAUUGAACUUUUUUGAUUUUGAAGCUAUGCAUGUGUAAAUAAUUUUGAUUGAAUGUAAUGACUAAAAUGUUUUUCUGUUUUUUGACGUUUCCUGAGAUAGUUUCAAACCUUACUUUCAUAAAACUUUUGAAAAUUGUCUCUAUAAAUUGAAACAGGCUCUUUUUUUUUAAUUUAAAAAUUCAAGAUCUUUAAACUGUUCUGAGAUAUGGGAAUUAUAAAUUAAGAAUAGGGGGAUGUCCAGUUUUAUAACUAUAACUCAUAAAGAACAGUCAGUGACUUUUAAGUAAAAUUUUCAGACAAGCCGUUUUAAUGUAAGUCAAGAAUUCAUAUUUGCCAGUGUCUUAACCAUAAAUAUUUACACUACCUGUUGCCUUCACCAUGCGUGACCAAGGAUCACUUAAACACCAUGGUUUUCCAAUUUUCUUUUCCAUGGUGAAAAAUUUUAAGAAUUUUUCAAGGAGGUGUGAAACCUGCAAAAAUCAAUGGCAAAUAUAAUUUUUAAUUUACACAAUUUCUUUUAUUAUAAUAUAUAGCUUUCUAAAUUAAGUGUUUUUCAAUAUAAAUUAUAUGAAAAUGUUUUAACUGUAAGUGUACAGUUUUUGAUUUCUAAAUUAUUAUUAACAAUUUAUUUUAAGCAGAUCAUAAUUUCUAAAUUGUUCAUCCUUGUUGUCAGAUUGCUGGCUUAAUAACAUUUUAAACUACCUAGUAUUUGAUGUGGAUAUACUCUUUAUUUUGUAUUUAUCUUAAUAUUAUAAAUGUUGUUUUUCCUCUUGAUGUCGUCAGAGCUGACGUUGUGACAAUGCAUGUAAUCCGACAUAAUUUUCCAUUCCAUUAUAAUUCUAGUAUUCAAUUAAUUCAUAACAGUUUUUAAUCAAUUUUGUAGCAUAGAUUUAUUUGUUUGUUAUUAUUCUGGGGAUGCUUUUUAUAAUUGUUGCAUGCAUUAGAAAAUUUAGCAUUGAAAAAUGUCAAUAUUGUAACCAACAAUUUGACAAAUUAAUGGGAGAUAAAUCUAUUUCUUAUAGGGAUUACCUCCCUUAGUAUACAAUUCCUGGAAUGAAUUCUGUGUAUAAAAAUUUAAUUGGGUGUGCUCAAUGGAUAGAAUAUUUUGUCAAGACACCCUUGGGUAACUGUUUAUGAAUUUUAUGAGAGUGUGAGUUAUUAUUUCUAAAAAUGAAACCUAGGUUGCCACAUAUUUCUGGCCUUAAAAAUCCAUUGUUACAAAAUUAACUUGUAUUUUUAGUCUGAUGUAAGUUAUUUCUUUUCCCUCACUCAUUUUUCUAUGAAUUAAAGUCCAUCAUUAAUAUUUCUAGGUGAAAGCAUACAUGUCCCUUUUUUGUAUAGGAAAAAAAUAAUAACGAUUUAAAUCAUGUAGUACAUAUACACAAUUGAAAUUUUAAUGUUAUGUUUUGAUAUUCAAUAGAGUUGUGGAUUUAUAAUUUUCUUGAAAUGGAUGUCCCUUGGCCAAUUUUCCUAGAAACUUUUGUCAAUGUCAUUUAUAUUCUUCAAGCAUUCAUGUCCUUUAAUUUUGAAAAAAAAAUAUUUACAUGUACACAAUGAAUAUUCAAUACUAUGUUUUAUAAUUAGAGUUGUGCAUUAUAAAUACUAAUGGAAUUCAUAUCCCCCUAUUUUUCCUAAUAAUUUCCUUGUAGUUUAUUAACCUAGGUAAAAAUGUCCAUGCCUUGUAUUAUAUAAGAUAAAUUCAAAUGUUGUUUAUAUAUUUUCAGAUUUGUGGUUUUUUUUUUAAUGUAGGUCUCCAGACUUAUUUUCUAUAAAAGGACAUCAUGUUAUUAUUAUUCCUAGCUUAUAAUGCCCAUACCUUUUUUUUUUAUGGAAAAAUAGAUGAAACUUUCAAAAUAUGCUCAUUUUAAUAAAAACUAUAAUUAUAAUUAAAAUUACUAGAAGAACAAGCAAUAAAACAAUUUUCCUAAGGAUAAAAAGUGUCAGAGUGCCACAUAUUGUACUUGUUAUGGACUUCUGCUCUAAGUUAAAUAAUGGUCAAAGACUUUACUAUCAAGGAUGAAAAGUUGGGCAGAAAAUUUUUGCAACUUAUGUCCAACUCAUAAAUGAAUAGGUUCUAAUAUAUGUUAUUUUAUUGUAAAAUAAAGGCAUGUCUCUGUGCGAACAA